rnacentral:rRNA from 1 species
CAGUCGCCACGGUAAUACGAAGGGGGCUAGCGUUGUUCGGACUUACUGGGCGUAAAGCGCACAUAGGCGGAUUUUUAAGUCAGGGGUGAAACCCCGAGGCUCAACCUCGGAACUGCCUUUGAUACUGGAGAUCUUGAGUUCGGAAGAGGUUGGUGGAACAGCUAGUGUAGAGGUGAAAUUCGUAGAUAUUGGGAAGAACACGGGAGGCGAAGGCGGCGACCUGGUCCUUGACUGACGCUGAGGCGCGAAAGCGUGGGGAGCAAACAGGAUUAGAUACCCCUGUAGUCCCUGUCUCUUAUAC